rnacentral:rRNA from 1 species
GACGAACGCUGGCGGCGUGCUUAACACAUGCAAGUCGAACGGAAAGGCCCUGCUUUUGUGGGGUGCUCGAGUGGCGAACGGGUGAGUAACACGUGAGUAACCUGCCCUUGACUUUGGGAUAACUUCAGGAAACUGGGGCUAAUACCGGAUAGGAGCUCCUGCUGCAUGGUGGGGGUUGGAAAGUUUCGGCGGUUGGGGACGGACUCGCGGCUUAUCAGCUUGUUGGUGGGGUAGUGGCUUACCAAGGCUUUGACGGGUAGCCGGCCUGAGAGGGUGACCGGCCACAUUGGGACUGCGAUACGGCCCAGACUCCUACGGGAGGCAGCAGUGGGGAAUAUUGCGCAAUGGGCGGAAGCCUGAUGCAGCAACGCCGCGUGCGGGAUGACGGCCUUCGGGUUGUAAACCGCUUUCGCCUGUGACGAAGCGUGAGUGACGGUAAUGGGUAAAGAAGCACCGGCUAACUACGUG